AGUGAACGCUGGCGGUAGGCCUAACUCAUGCGAGUCGAACGGCAGCACAGUAAGAGCUUGCUCUUACGGGUGGCGAGUGGCGGACGGGUGAGGAAUACAUCGGAAUCUACUUUUUCGUGGGGGAUAACGUAGGGAAACUUACGCUAAUACCGCAUACGACCUACGGGUGAAAGCAGGGGAUCUUCGGACCUUGCGCGAUUGAAUGAGCCGAUGUCGGAUUAGCUAGUUGGCGGGGUAAAGGCCCACCAAGGCGACGAUCCGUAGCUGGUCUGAGAGGAUGAUCAGCCACACUGGAACUGAGACACGGUCCAGACUCCUACGGGAGGCAGCAGUGGGGAAUAUUGGACAAUGGGCGCAAGCCUGAUCCAGCCAUACCGCGUGGGUGAAGAAGGCCUUCGGGUUGUAAAGCCCUUUUGUUGGGAAAGAAAAGCAGCAGGUUAAUACCCCGCUGUUCUGACGGUACCCAAAGAAUAAGCACCGGCUAACUUCGUG
rnacentral:rRNA from 1 species